rnacentral:lncRNA from 1 species
CGAUCAAGAGGUUCUAAUAGCUUGGAUUUGCUUAGAUCUUUAGUAUAGAUUUUGGUAUUCUCUGUAUUAGUAGUUGUUUUCGUAUUAAAGGGUAAUUUUAGGUGGUUAAGAGAUGAUUUCACUCAGAGUUGUGGAGUGUUAUCUAUCUCAUUGUGGUUAAAAACAUGCAAUGGUUUUUCGAUCAGGUAGCGUUGGAUCCGCUAGUGAUUCAGGGUUUUACUAGAUCAUCCCAUUGCGUUUGGUCCAAUUCUAUAGAGGUGAAUGUAAUGUACCUUGAAUUUGGAUGUAAUCCUUUGGUUAAUGAAUAGUUGAAGUUGAGACAAAAAAAAACUCUACACGUGCUGUAUUUGUUCCAUUUCUUCUCCUAUUGUAUACACGUGAAGUGGCUUAUCACUCAGCUCUUAUAAAUCCAAAGGACUAUGAGUUGUGAAGAAGUUAAUUAACUUAUCUAUCUUUGAGGGAAUAUUGUGAGUUAAUUAUAAUUCCAAGUACUUGAUUUGAGUUUAGUCUUAUGUGAGCUAAAUGAAUGUAAUCUUGUAACCUUUAUAUAUCUACCAAAAUCUUGUAACCUUUAUAUACAGUAAAACCUCUAUAAAUUAAUACUCGAUAAAUUAAUAACUUCUAUAAAUUAAUAAAUUUAUCCGGUCCCAAGUUGGGACCAGUGUAAUUUUAGACAUAUUUCGAUAAAAUAAUAAGAUAAUAAUUUUUUUGAAAAUCCUUUGUAAAUAUAUGGUCCCAUCAAAAUUAUAAAUUAAUAAUUAGGUAAAAUUUUCAAAAUAUAUGUAUAUAUAAACACAUUAGUUUUUGUUAGAUUUUAUUUCUAAUAUUUUACUAUAUGAAAAAUAGUUAGCAUUCUAUUUUAAUACAUAAUUAUUAUUAUUUUAUUUGUAAUUGAAUAUAUAAAAUACUAAUUAUCAUGAUUAAAUCUUAUUUUUAAAUAUUGUUUGAAAAUAUUUUCCAAAUUAGAAAUAUCUCUCUAUAAAUUAAUAAUUAUUAAUUUAUCGAUAAAUUAAUACCUCUAUAAAUUAAUAGAUUUUCAUGGUCCCAACAUUAUUAAUUUAUAGAGGUUUUACUGUAUCUACCAAAUUUUUCGGGCCGGGCCGGGCCGGGCUCUGCAUGUUUUUCUAACCAAGAGUGGUUUUGAAUGUUUGUUAAUGAUGUUCUUGGUUACAUGUUCUUUUGUUCGUUUUGAAUCUUUGAGCAGUGAGAGAUGUUAGAGUGGUUUUUUUCACUGAGGAGUUUGAUGCACAAAUACUGAGAGCAGAGGAUCCAAGAAGAUUCAUGUAAAGAUCUCAAGAUGGUAAUAGUAAUCCUUGGAUCUGAGCAAAUGGGAUCGAAGUUGGAAGAUCCCUUAAACUCUUGACAUAAUCUUGUAAAUCUUCACUCUAUGGAAUAUCACUUUUGUUCUUAGUCCUCCUAUCUAUUAGCUAGACUCCUAGUGCUAUGUUUUGAUAGGUAACAAAAUGCAAAUUAUUUAGUUCUAUUAAAACCAUAUAACGCAAUUUGCAAGAAUUAUUGCUUCACAUCCGCAUUAAAAUGUUUUUGUAACUUUAUAGCUAAUGGUUAGUUACUUAGUUUGUGUAUUAUACAAAAAUGAUCAAAAAGUAUUAAUUGGAAACCGAUGAUAUCAAAGAUAGUGACUGGCCUGCGAAACCAACAGAACUAAUUACUACAUACUUUGUAUAUAAACUCGUUUAGAUCAUAUAAGAGAAAAUAACAUUUUUUUUUAAUUGGUAAACUCCUGCUUGAUCUGGUAAUUUAGUAUAAUUUGUCUACUUAAUUCAUUUUUGUCCGUUUAAUUAUUUCUUUCUUAUCUUAAAAGAAAUUGACCUUUCAACCAAAAUUUAAAAGUUUUGGAUACCCCAUCACGGAUUCUGCUACGCUUGGUAAAAUUUUUGUUUUUUUCUAUAUAUUAGUAGAAUAUUAUUCAUGGUAAAAUGAAAAUUUUUGAUACUUCUUACAGCGACUAACGCUAACGGAUUUAUGGCGCUAGACAUUUGGUUCCAAAACACGGCUGGACCGACUAAGAAACAAGCAGUUGCUCUCCGCGUAAAUGCUGAUCAAUCUGUCUUUUAUCGCUGUCGAAUAGAUGGCUACCAGGACACGCUUUUCGCUCAGCUGAAUCGACAGUUCUAUCGUGAUUGUUACAUCACGGGAACCAUUGACUUUAUAUUUGGGGAUGCUGCCGCAAUAUUCCAAAAUUGUGAGAUUGUGGCACGAAAGCCUCUAAACGGACAGAGCAAUGUGCUGACGGCUCAAGGACGCAUUGAUCCGACCAGAAAUUCUGGCUUCUCGCUUCAAAGGUGUAAUAUAACAGCGAGCUCCGAUCUAGCUCCGGUCAAAGGAACAGUAAAAUCAUUCUUAGGACGUCCGUGGAAAAAGUUUUCUAGAGUGGUAAUAAUGCAGUCAUUCAUAGAUGAUUUUAUUGAUCCGGGUGGGUGGAUUCCUAUGAACAACGAUGUUGGACGUUUAUCGACGUUGUUCUUUGGUGAAUACGAGAACAAGGGUCCUGGGGCAGACACUAGAAGAAGGGUUAAAUGGCAAGGACACAAAUUGAUGACUGAUUCGAAGGAGGCAUCAAAAUUCACAGUGACUAGUCUUAUUAAUGGUGAGUUGUGGCUUAAUUCUACCAUUGUGCCUUAUGAGGAAGGACUCUAAAUACUUGUGUUUAUGUUAUAUGUGUUAGUAAAUAAAUGUUAUUAAUUUGUGUGAUAAAAACUGGUAAAAAAUAGAUUUUGUAUUUUCUGUUAUUCACAAACCUAAAAAUGAGAGUUUCUAUAUGAAAGAAAUCUAUAUAUAGUGUACUUUUAAAAACUACUAGCAUAUCAAAAUUACCAAUGAAAGGGAAAAUAUUCUAACGCCUUUUCUUUAACAUAUCAAAUUGAUUGAGGAAAGCUGUCGUCAUCAUACAAUUACUACAUAGUAUUUAGCUUUUAAUCCCACUUUUACUAGAACAUCGGCACCCUUAAAACUAUUCUACAAGGCCGGUCUCGAAAUUUUUUGUGGCCGAAAACAUAUUUAAACUGACAUCUUCUAAACAAAAAAAACUAAUGUUAAAAUUUGUUAGCAAAUACUAAAAUGUAUAAAAACCAAAAUUAAUAAUUCAAUGGAAAAAAAAAAUUCUCUCCCACUUCACCAAACACCUAAAAAGUAAAAACGAAAGCUAGAUUUGUAUGAUGACGAAACAAAAAUUAACGACAUUUAAACAUGUACAAAGCCAACUCACCAAUGUAAACUUCGUGUACAAACAGUCCUACGCUUUUAUUUAUCAUUGGUGGCCUAAAGCAAAUGCUUUGUUCUUGUAAUGUUACAUAUCUAAAUGUUUUUUUCUCAAAUAAUAAAAUGUUAUAAGAAUAAGUUGAGAAAAGUUAACAAUAAAAUAUGUGUGUUAGUUUUCUCUUCUGUCUAAUAAUUUUUGUAAGCUAAUAUUUUUUUUUUUUAAAUACCAUUAUAUUUUCUCUUGGGUUAAAAAUUUACAUUAUUUCGUGCUACUCCUAAAGUUUUUUUUCUGAAAAAAAAGCUAAUAAAAAUGAAAAUUGCUACCUGAAAUGAAUAUAUUUUCUAUAUCCACUACAUAAUUAUAUAUAUUGUGCUGUUUAUCCUAAAUGAGAAUUUAACAACAAAAAUUGAAAGUUUUGAUUUUUUCUUAAGCACAAAUGAAAAUUAUAAAAUUACCAUAAAUGCAAACCCCUACUUAAUAAAAUGGAAGUACACAACAUUAAAAUGUGAGUCAAAUUAUAUAAAAAUACCAUUAUAAAUAUAGGAGAGUUAUAUAAAAAUACCAUUAUAAUAAUUACCAAGGCGAAAAAUGUCAAUAAGUAAUUUAUUCAACUUAGUUACUUAAGAAUAGAAACAAAAACAAUUUUUUUUUUUUUGAGUUUUUUUUCGUACAACAUAUUUUUAUUUAUUUUAUCUGUUAUUUUAUCUGUUGAGUUUUAUCAUAUACAACAUAUUUUUAUUUAUUUUAUCUGUUAUUACGUAUGAAAAGUAUUCGGACCAAACACCUAAUUCAUUGUACGUACGAUAUAUGAUUUGAUAAAAUAGAGAAUGUCAUGAACAAAAUACCUAAGCUCACUAGCUAUAAUAAUGUAAUAAUUAAUAUAUAGCACAUCGUUUACAUUGUCCUCUGAUCCUCUUCCUUGUUCGGUAGUGCAAAUUCACCUCAUCUUUAACUUGCAUGCAUACAAUAAGCUAUAUAUUCCCAAACUCACUGAUUUGACAAACAAUACAAUUGAAAGAUAUAUAUAUAUAUAUAUAUAUAUAUAUAUAUACACAUAUAUAUGUGUAAUGGAAUAAUAGAAAAAAGCCACCUCAUGUUAUUGUCAAGGAGAUUAAUUCAACUUUUAAUCAGUGCUAAAUUAGCAAGUUUGGAUCGUGUGAUUCUUCAGCGCAUGAACAACUUUUAGAUGAUCAUUCUCUAAGUUUUUUGGCAGUUUGGUUUGGAUUCAUUCAGCGGUGAUUUUACUCUUGCUUCACUUAAAUAUUGUUUAAUAUUAACUAGGAGAUAAUCCGUGCUACAGCACGGAUGAAGUUUUCUCGAAAAGUUAAUAAUUUUUUUUUUAAUUGUUCUUAUUUAAGAUAUUCUAACGCUUUUUAUCUAAUACAGUAAACUGAUUGUGGAAAGUUGUUGUCAUCGUACAAAUUAUGUAGAAAAUGGACAAAUAUCCAUUACAAUUACUAUUUCCAACUUUUACUUGAACAUCGGCACACUUAAUACUAUUCUACAAGGCCGGUCCUCGAAAUUUUGUGGCCUAAAACGUAUUUAACAAAUGUCAUCUUCUAUAUAAAAACUAAUGUUAAAUUUUGUUAUUAAUAUACUAAAAUUUAUAAAACAAACAUAGGAAAAAGCCAUUGUUGUUAAGGAAAGGGAAUUAUACCAAAAACAAAUAAGUGAAAAUGGAAAAAAAAAAAUUCUCUCCCACUUCACCAAACACCUAAAAUUUUAAACGAAAGCUAGAUUUUUUUUUUUUUUGACAUCAAACGAAAGCUAGAUUAAAGACAAUUAAAAGGAAAAAAAAUGAGUAACAUAUUAGUGAAGUGUGCAAGAAUAUUUUAAUCUUGCGUGUGGCUGAUUUAAACAUGUACAAAGCCAACUAAUCAAUGUUAAACUUCUUGUAUAAACAAUUCCUACGCUUUUAUUUAUCAUUGGUGGCUUAAAGCAAAUGUUUUUUUUCUUUGUUAAUGUUACAUAUUUAAUUUUUCAACUAAUAAAUAUUAUAAGAAUAAGAUAAAAUUAACAGUUUAAAUAUACUGUAUGUGUUAGUUUUUCUUCGGUCAAAAGUUAUAAUUUUUUUUAAGGUAAUAAAUAUUUUUUUCAAAUGCCAUUGUAAUCUAGUAAACAAACAUAUAUUAUAUUGUCUUCCGUCAAUCUUCUUCUUUCCCAUUCAAGAGUGAGAAAAGAAGAUAUGAUAUAUGUUUGUUUACUACAUUACAUUAGUUACAUAUGGCUGAGUGGUUAGAAAGGGGUUAAUGGUGUCUUAGAGUUUGUGGGUUUGAACCUAGCAUGCUGCAAUUUUGUUUUUAUUCAGACAACAAAUACGACGUCGUUUUGAUUUCUUCUACACACAUGACUGCCACGUCAUAUUGGCUAAACGGAAAGUUAACAGAGUUAAACAAUAAACACGUUUUUUGGUAUGUUAAGGCACAAAAAUUGAAGUUUAGGUAUGGAAUUCAAAUUAUUUUAAAGUUAAUGUAUUUUUAGGCACAAUGGAUAGUUAGAUGUAUGAAUUCAACACAGAGCAAUUAUGCAGGUAUGAAAAAGCCCUUUUUCCGUCAAAAGUUAGCAUAUCUAAACUAACAAAAAAAACAUUAAAAAAAUUAUGGUAUAUAAUUUAUUAGCAUUAUCUAUUCUUUUUUCUGGUCAAAGAUAUAACAUUGAAAACUCAUCUUACUAUAAGUACAUAAUCUAUUAGCAUUUAAUUUUGAAGAUAUGUUUCAGCCUAUAUAAAUCUCAUCUAAGUUCUCAAACAUCAUAUAGAAAAAUGUUUACAUCCGUAAAAAAUAACAUCAGAUUGGUUCUUAUAGUGGUAUUACUUAUUGCUGUCUCAUCACAUGCAAGAUUUAGUAUUAUGGUUACCAAAGGAGUGAUCAACUCCAUCUGCACCAAAGAUAAACGUCUUUCUUCACUCUGUUUCGAGGUUCUAAAACCAACAUCUGAAAUUGCAAAAUUAGAUCUUUUUGGUCUCACCAAAUAUUUGAUCAAUUAUCAGUCUCGAAAUUUAUCAGAUACGAUGAAGCAAUUGAAAUUGUUUGCGGACAACACAACUGAUUUUCGUACUCAUAAUAUGUAUACAACUUGCAUUGAAGAUUAUGAUAGUGCAUUGUAUUAUAAUCAAUAUUCUCUUAAAGAUUUGGCAGCUAAAGACUAUGAUGGUUUAAACACAAGAAUUGGUGGUGUCGGACCAGAGAUGUAUGCAUGUAGUGAUGGUUUGUUAACAGUCAAGCCAAUACCUCAACUCCUUAUUAAGAAAUGUAAUUUUAUUAGUGAUCUAUCAAGCAUUAUGUUAGUGAUACUUGAAUAUUUCAUAAGAAAUAAUUAAAUAAAUGUAGUUAUGAAAUUAUAAUAAAUUAAUAAUAAUAUUUUUAUGGUAUGGCAUAUGCCUUCUUUUAUUUAUAAACACAUACACAAACAUCAAUACUUCUAUUUGACUAUCUGGGCCUUUGGUGCUUUAUAUACCUAAUGUGCAAGUAAAAUGACCUUUAAUUUAACCCAAAAAAUAAAGUAAAAGGGUUUUCAUACACCUCUUUAGAUAUUAUAAGGACAUAUUAAAAGUAGAACAGUGUAACGCCCCGACCAUCACCUCUACAAUGGGCCCCAUAUUCACCACCAUCCAAUGGGUCCACCGCUCUUAAUGGACAUCACGUCCUCUCACUAGACACAUGAGCCAAUCAAUAUUCGACUGUCGAUUUGUUACAUCGGGAAGACUUGAAUACUUGUUUACAGACCCUACAAAUCACCACAUGAUCUUUCCCUGUGUUUUGGCCUCACUUACUCAGUUCCCACAACCACUUCCCUGAAGGUCAUCCAUCUUUUGACUACUCCAGCAUAAGCACGCUUAACUGUGAAGUUUUCUCAGGACCCUUGACCUUUGGUGACAUAGGUGACCAAAUCAAUUCAUUUAAACAUCUACGUAAAGCAUGGUCUCACAAAAAAUAUUGGUACUUAUACAAAAAAUAUAAAUCCAAUACACAAAAUAGCAGCAUAAUUACAUUAUUUUGUGCUACUCCUAAAGUUUUUUUUUCUGAAAAAGCUACUAAAAAUGAAAAUUUGCUACCUGAAAUGAAUAUAUAUUCUAUAUCCACUACAUAUAUAUAUAUAUAUAUAUAUAUAUAUAUAUAUUGUGUUGUUUAUCCUAAAUGAGAAUUUAACACCGAAAAUUGAAAGUUUUGACUAUUUUAUUAAGCAUAAUUGAAAAUUAUAAAACUACCAUAAAUGCAUCCCCUAGUUAAUAAAAUGGAAGUACGAAUGUGAGUCGAGUUAUAUCAAAAUAUCAUUAUAAAUAUAGGUUUCAAAAAAUAAAUAAAUAAUAUUCGCUAAGGCGAAAAAUGUCAAUAACUGUAUUUUUUUCAAUUUAGUUACUUAAGAAAACAAAAUUUUAUUUUCAGUUUCAAAAAUAAAUAUCUAACAAAAAUAAACAAAUAAGAUUUGAUUAUAAUGAUAAGAAUAAUCAACUUUAUAUAUAACACUUGGUUUUCAUAUUGUUCACCCCAGAGUCAUAUAAACAAAACAGAAGUACAACAAGGAGUUGAAAUUAAUUGGUUUUGCUUAAGCCAAUCAUUAUUAACUCGGGUUUGAGUUUCAAUCUCUUGUGAGAAAAAACAUUGAUGCUUCAAAAUUCUUAAAUUUUAAUCUCUGAUAAAAAAAACACAUGAUCAGAAAUUUCUUAAAGUUGACAUUUGUUAGAGAACUCUGCGUCGUUGAUACUUUUUUCAAAAUUUGCCAUGUGACUCUAUAUUGAGAAGGCUCCCUAAUUGCUUUGGAUCGGAUCAGCUUCUUAAACCUUGGUGAUGCGGUUUUGUGUUCUAAAGCAAUUAGGGAAUUAACCAUACUUAAUUAUUUCUUUCUUGCUGCAUAUCUAUUAGCUGCCUUGGAUAUAGAUAUAGGUUAUCUAAAGGGUUUAGACAUAAGAUAUGAUAGGGUUUUGGUGGCUAUCCCCACAUCACUCGAAAGGAUGUGUUCUUCAUUGUGUUGGUUCCACUACCUAACCAUCUUCUAGCAUUUUAUUUUACUAAAGGCAAGAUCUCUACUCUUUACACGUGACUUACUAACUUUUAAAAUCAAGCUUUACAAUAACUAAGAUAUAUAUAUAUAUAUAUAUAUAUAUAUAUAUAUACGUUUCCAAAAAUAUAUAUUAUACGAAGCUAUGUUGUAUGUAAACGGAAGGUUUAGAAACGAAAAAACAAUUUUCAAUGAAAUUAGGACAUGGAUUUUUUGGAAAAUAUAUGUUAAUAAAAGAUUUUAAAAACAAAAAUAUAAUGCCAAAUUAGAGAAAAUUAUAGACGAAAACAAAACGAUUUGCCAAACAAGCAAACACAAACACUAGAUAAAUACAAUAAAUACUUGAUAAGAUUACACUAAAUCCUCAAGUUAAAAAAAAAAAAAAAAAAACGUUAGAAAAUCUGCAUAACCCUAGCUAGUGCAUGCAUGUCAUAUAUAUAUAUAUAAAAGUAUGUGUCCCCUCCUCGUUCGUUCUUCAUAUAUAGAAAAGAGAAAACAAUAAUACAAAUUAAUAUAUAGACAUAAGACAUGAGAGGGUUUUGGUGGAAGUUAAUAGCGCUAGUGUCGAUAUGGGUCAUCCCGACAUCACUCGAAAGCAUGUGUUCUUCGAUGUGUUGGUCGUACUACCUAAUCAUCUACGCUUUCUCAGUCUUGUACUCGGCGAUGUCUCUUUUGAUAACCACAGCUCUUCCUAUCUGCGAGGAACAUAAGCCUCCUUUGCCUUAUGCACGAACGUUCUAUUCCAUCGUUCCUAUGAUCCCCAUUCAUCUAUUGUCCUUCUAUUACCCAUCCGUGGAUGUCUUGCUCUACGUCUACUCCAUGUAUGCGUUGGGAUAUGCAUGUUUCAACAUUAACUCUCCUAUACAGACUAAGUACGCACGCUUCUCCUUUAUCUUAACACUGUUCGUCGGUUUCUUCGGACUCAAGCUUGGUGAGUAUUGUAGCACACAGUCUUGUCCGUUGGAGUAUUCUCUACUGCUUUCUGUUCUUUGGAUUAAUUUACUCAGUUUCGUUCUAGAUUGGUUUAACGGCAUUCUAGAUUUUAAUAAUUAUUAGGUUUCUUUAUUUUGUUUCAUAAGGGUCGAAUUUAUAUAUUCCUUAGUUUUGUUGAUUACAUAAUAAAGUCUAAUAAAAGAUUAUUAUUUUGCGCUUCGUAUGUUUCUUAUAUAUCCUAUAUAUAUAUACAACAACAUAAAACUCU